UACGAAGGGGGCUAGCGUUGCUCGGAAUCACUGGGCGUAAAGGGUGCGUAGGCGGGUCUUUUAAGUCAGGGGUGAAAUCCUGGAGCUCAACUCCAGAACUGCCUUUGAUACUGAGGAUCUUGAGUUCGGGAGAGGUGAGUGGAACUGCGAGUGUAGAGGUGAAAUUCGUAGAUAUUCGCAAGAACACCAGUGGCGAAGGCGGCGACCUGGGCCAAUAUUGACGCUGAGGUGCGAAAGCGUGGGGAGCAAACUAGGGAUUAAGA
rnacentral:rRNA from 1 species